UUUGGAUUUUAUUUUAUUUGUAAUGGGAAACCAUUGGGAAAUUUUAAGCAUGGAGAGAUAAUUAUCAUACCAAUGAUAAAAGGAGGAUGCUGGCUGCUGUGUGACCACGGUGGCUAAGAGUAGAAGCUGAGCGACCACGAGCAGGAGGCUGCAGGAGUAUGGACGAGGAGUAGGAAGGCCUCCACCAGGGUGGCAGCAAUGGUCAGAACGGACACCUAUUUUGGAUAUAGAGCCACCAAGGCUUCCGGGGAGAGGAAAGGAGGAAUGGGGUUUGCAUAAAAUGAAAAAAGGAAUCAUACAUGAUUCCUCGGCAUGGCCUGAGCAAUAAGGCAAACACGAACUCUGCAGAGGAAUUUUAGCUGCUUCUUAAUACAUGUGUAGUAAUGCACGUCUUCUGUUUUCCUGCACACGUAUGUAUGCAGGAAUGUAUGUAACCAUGAUGAAGAGUUAGGGUGUUAUUCAGGGAGAAAUCCAUGGAUGAUACCCACAUUUUAAUGCCUUCCAAAACCAUAUAUCCUAUUACAUAUUUAUCUCCCCCUUCAAUUUCUAAGAGACAUUUUAAGAGAGGUCACGGCUUCUACCCUAGUCCAAGUUUUGGACAAACACAACAGCCUCUUAACUGGUCUACCUGGGCUUAAAUCCUCCCAGUUCUCACAUAGCAGCCUCGGGAACUUAAAAUCACAGCUUUUGCUUUCCCACCUAGACUCCUCCGAUGGUUUCCACUGAUAAAAGUCUGUCUGCCUUGCUCUUUAAGAUCCUAGGAUCUCUGGCUACUUCAUUCUCCAGCCUCGGCAGCUACGCCUCUCCAGAUUCAUUCUUUCUGCCUUUCUGAUUGCUUCAGAAACGUGCCCAACUCAUUUCUCUUCCCACAGGGUUUCCUCUACCCCAACUGCUCUUUCUGCAGCCCUUUCAGUGUGGCUUCCUUCUCAUGAUUCAGGGCAUACCACACUCUAGACAGAAAGGAUGUCCCUGACCACACUCUAGACAGAUAACGGCCAAGACACUCUUGACGGCAGUGCCCUGCUGGCAUUUCGAUCACGGUGCUUAGGUCUCAGGGAACUUUUCUCUUCUCUUCUCCAUUGUCUUUCUCUCCCCUGAAUGCUCACCCCUGAAUCUAAAACAACGUUGGCACAUGUAGGCACUCGAUGAGAUUUUGUUGAACACAUGAAUUCUCAUGUUAUGCAAAAUUUUGGUAGGAAACAGUUGGACUGAAGCCUGGUAUGAAGUAUACAGAAAUGAUAACUAUGAGCUAUGUCACAUGCAUUGACCGACAGGGCAUGUGAUAGUAUUCCUUAGCAUUUUGAAAUGUAAGAACAGAAACAUGAGAACCAUCAUUGUACUUUGGGGAAAGCACAAGAAGGAAGGCAAAAUACAAGUCAGAAUUAGCACAAACUGUGUAACUCUGUAUGUGGUAUAAAAUAUACUCAUCCAUGUACAGCCUAGAACAGGAUCUGGCACAUAUUCGGCCCUCAAUGAAUUUUUGUUGAGUAAAUGAAUACCUAUGAGCUAAAAGCCUGCAAAUGAUUAGACCAAAGGUGAAAACAAAAUAAUUAAAUUUUAACUACUGGGGAUAGUUUUACUCCAAAACAGGAGUUCUGCUAAGAGGUGACGAAGAUACAGUUUAGUUGAGGCGGCCCCAUGUUAAGCAGAGCUUUAAUCUAUAAUAACAACGGAAACAGAGGAAGACCCCUCCCACAUCUUGCCGGAUGUAGGGCCAUCUCAGCCAUUCAUCUCACCGGCUCAAUGAGGGAAGAGCACCAUUCACCACCUUAGGACCAGCUCCACUGGAUCAGCCAAAAACGUGACUAAAUAUGUACACCUCCCAGUUACUCGAAUAACUAGUUAACAUGCAAUAUGCUGCUAAAACGUGCCCAUCGCGCCCAUUGGACAGAAGCUCACUACCUGAUGACCAUGAGCUUGGAGCCCCCAGACGUGCCGAAGGCUGAGGAUUGGUGAUGUUAACCCCUGUGACAUCACCCUGUGACCUCACCAUCAACCAAUCACGGCAUGAAGCAAAUACAUCAAAAUGU